rnacentral:tRNA from 1 species
UACUUCGUAGCUCAGUGGUUAGAGCAUCCGACCGGUGUGCGGGAGGUCAUGGGCUCGACUCCCGUCGGGGCCUCAG